GAUGUAGUUUAAUGUAGUAUGCAGUAGUAUAUGGAACAGUCUCCCCACUUCACUCACUGAGCUUUCUAAAGAACAUUUUAAACCGAGAGUCAAAUUGUUGCUCCUAAGUUCUCUGAAUUUUCCAUUUGGGUUUAUGCUCUUAAUCUAUUUUUAAGUUGUUUCAUACAAAUUAAAUGUGUUUUGGUUUGUUUGAUUUUGUUUUGUUUUUUUGUUAGCUUUUUUGUUUUUAUUGUUUGUUUGGUUUAGUUUAGUUUU